rnacentral:rRNA from 1 species
GAAUACAUCGGAAUCUACUCUGUCGUGGGGGAUAACGUAGGGAAACUUACGCUAAUACCGCAUACGACCUACGGGUGAAAGCAGGGGAUCUUCGGACCUUGCGCGAUUGAAUGAGCCGAUGUCGGAUUAUCUAGUUGGGGGGGUAAAGGCCCACCAAGGCGACGAUCCGUAGCUGGUCUGAGAGGAUGAUCACCCACACUGGAACUGAGACACGGUCCACACUCCUACGGGAGGCAGCAGUGGGGAAUAUUGGACAAUGGGCGCAAGCCUGAUCCAGCCAUACCGCGUGGGUGAAGAAAGCCUUCUGGUUGUAAAGCCCUUUUGUUGGGAAAGAAAUCCAGCUGGCUAAUACCCGGUUGGGAUGACGGUACCCAAAGAAUAAGCACCGGCUAACUUCGUGCCAGCAGCCGCGGUAAUACAAAGGGUGCAGCGUUACUCGGAAUUACUGGGCGUAAAGCGUGCGUAGUGGUCGUUUAAGUCCGUUGUGAAACCCUGGGCUCACCUGGGAACUGCAGUGGAUACUGGGCGACUAGAGUGUGGAGAGGGAGCGGAAUUCCUGGUGUACAGUGAAUGCGUAGAGAUCACGAGGACAUCCAUGGCGAAGGAGCUACCUGGACAACACUGACACUGAGGCACGAAAGCGUGUGGAGCAAACAGGAUAAUAUACCCUGGUAGUCCACGCCCUAUACGAUGCGCACUGGAUGUUGUGUGCAAUUUGGCACGCACUAUCGAAGCUAACGCGUUAAAUCGCCCCCUCGGGAGACAGGCGCAGACUGAACUCUAAGGAUUGACGGGGCCCCACACCGGGGAGAUGUGGUUAUUCAUGCACGCGAAAACUUACUGGCUUGACUGUGAGACUUUCCCAGAUGAUUGUGCCUCCGGACUCGAAACAGUGCUCAUGGUGUCUCACUCUGUCUGGAAGUGGGUAAUCCCCACAAGGCACCUUGUCUAUUGCACCCGAAGGGGGAAUUAAGGACGCCGUGAAACCGAGAAGGGG